rnacentral:rRNA from 1 species
UACGUAGGGUGCAAGCGUUGUCCGGAAUUAUUGGGCGUAAAGAGCUCGUAGGCGGUCUGUCGCGUCGGCUGUGAAAACUUGGGGCUCAACCCCAAGCCUGCAGUCGAUACGGGCAGACUAGAGUGCGGUAGGGGAGACUGGAAUUCCUGGUGUAGCGGUGAAAUGCGUAGAUAUCAGGAGGAAUACCGGUGGUGUAGACGGCUCUCUGGACCGCCACUGACGCUGAGACACGAAAGCGUGGGUAGCAAACAGG